UACGGGGGGGGCAAGCGUUGUUCGGAAUUACUGGGCGUAAAGGGCUCGUAGGUGGCCAACUAAGUCAGACGUGAAAUCCCUCGGCUUAACCGGGGAACUGCGUCUGAUACUGGAUGGCUUGAGUUUGGGAGAGGGAUGCGGAAUUCCAGGUGUAGCGGUGAAAUGCGUAGAUAUCAGGAGGAACACCGGUGGCGAAGGCGGUUCUCUGGGCAUUACCUGACGCUGAGGAGCGAAAGCAUGGGGAGCGAACAGG
rnacentral:rRNA from 1 species